UAGAGUUUGAUCAUGGUUUAGAGUUUGAUCAUGGCUCAGAUUGAACGCUGGCGGCAGGCCUAACACAUGCAAGUCGAGCGGUAACAUUUCUAGCUUCCUUGAAGAUGGCGAGCGGCGGGCGGGUGAGUUAUGCUUGGGACCAUGCCUUGAGGUGGGGCGCCAACCAUUGGAAACGAAGGCUAAUUCCGCAUAACGUCUCCGGGCCAAAGGGGGGUUUCGGCUCUCGCCUUUAGAUUGGCCCAAGUGGGAUUAGCUAGUUGGUGAGGUAAAUGGCUCACCAAGGCGACGAUCCCUAGCUGGUUUGAG
rnacentral:rRNA from 1 species